GUGCUCGCUUCAGCAGAACAUAUACUAAAAAACUGGAAUGAUACAGAGAUUAGCAUGGCCUCUGUGCGAGGAUGACACGCAAAUUCAUGAAGCGUUCCAUAGUUUA